rnacentral:rRNA from 1 species
UACGUAGGGAGCGAGCGUUGUCCGGAUUCAUUGGGCGUAAAGAGCUCGUAGGCGGCUUGGUAAGUCGGAUGUGAAAUCCCCGGGCUCAACCUGGGAACUGCAUUGUGACUGUAGAGCUGGAGUACGGGUAGAGGGGAUGGAAUUCCGCGUGUAGCAGUGAAAUGCGUAGAUAUGCGGAGGAACACCGAUGGCGAAGGCAAUCCCCUGGACCUGUACUGACGCUCAUGCACGAAAGACGUGGGGAGCAAACGAGG